rnacentral:rRNA from 1 species
UACGAAGGGUGCAAGCGUUACUCGGAAUUACUGGGCGUAAAGCGUGCGUAGGUGGUGAGUUAAGUCUGAUGUGAAAUCCCCGGGCUCAACCUGGGAAUGGCAUUGGAUACUGGCUCGCUAGAGUGCGGUAGAGGGUGGUGGAAUUCCCGGUGUAGCAGUGAAAUGCGUAGAGAUCGGAAGGAACAUCUGUGGCGAAGGCGGCCACCUGGACCAACACUGACACUGAGGCACGAAAGCGUGGGGAGCAAACAGG